UUGACGGGGGCCCGCACAAGCGGUGGAGCAUGUGGUUUAAUUCGAAGCAACGCGAAGAACCUUACCAGGUCUUGACAUCCUUUGACCAUUCUGGAGACAGAACUUUCCCUUCGGGGACAAAGUGACAGGUGGUGCAUGGUUGUCGUCAGCUCGUGUCGUGAGAUGUUGGGUUAAGUC
rnacentral:rRNA from 1 species